GACGAACGCUGGCGGCGUGCUUAACACAUGCAAGUCGAGCGGAGCGGCGCACUGGUGAGUAACGCGUGAGUAACUGCCCCCCUCUCCGGGAUAACAGUUGGAAACGGCGGCUAAUACCGGAUAGUGGGGGAUGACUCGCGUCCUAUCAGCUUGUUGGUGGGGUAGUGGCCUACCAAGGCGACGACGGGUAGCCGGCCUGCGAGGGCGACCGGCCCCAUAGGGCAGGGAUAGGGGCCGAAGUGAUACGGGAGGAAGCAGUGGAGAAUAUUGCACAAUGGGGGAAACCCUGAUGGAGGAACGCCGCGUGGGGGAUGACGGCCUUUGGGUUGUAAACCGCUUUCAGCCAUGACGCGGUAGUGGCAGAGGAAGCACCGGCUAACUACGUGCCAGCAGCCGCGGUAAUUC
rnacentral:rRNA from 1 species